rnacentral:lncRNA from 1 species
CACAUUUGGUCCUUGAGAGACGACCUAAGAGUCACUUCCUAAUCUAUACUUCAUUUCUCAUAUGCAAUCAAAUUUUUAUGGGUUGCGACAGCUCAUCAAUGUUGCACCACCCAAAAUCAAGCACCGCCUAAAAGAAGAUUGAUGGAUUAAACCGUGACCUGUGUGCACUUUUGCUAAAUUGAAAGACAAGCUUUUCCAACUCUCCAUUAAUCAGCGCCUAAGGCCGUGUGCUCACGUAACAACAUAUUUCUUCUUCACCGUGUGCCUCCAAAAUGAACAAAAAAAUGACCUCUGCCGAUUGAAUCUUUUAAGGGGACAUCAACGCUAAUUUUUCAUUUUUAAAAUGGAUAAUCUUCUAAGGGGACAACAGCUGCAGCUAAUGACCGC